UGGGAUUACAGGUGCACACCACCAUGCCAGGCUAAUUUUUGUAUUUUUUGGUAGAGGCGGAGUUUCACCAUGUUGGCCAGGCUGGUCUCGAACUCCUGACCUCAAGUGAUCCGCCUGCCUUGGCCUCCCAAAGUAUUGGGAUUACUACAGGCAUCAGCCACCACACCCAGCCCACAUUCAGAACUUUUGAAAGGACAUUCGGGCUUCCAGGUGUCCCCUGAGGUUGGCCCCAUUGUUGCUCAGCCCGCAUGGCAGCUAGACUUUCCCAUUUGCCCACUCCUGCCUCUACCCACCUUGCCCAGGUGCUGAUGCCAAGAGUCCUCUUCCAUAAACAUCCAUGUCAGGGGCUCGGGAGCCUCACCUGCAGCGUUUGUUUAGGCCACUCCUCUGAGUGACGGUGGAGCUGGGGCCAGGGGAGAGAGCCUGACCUGUCUUGGACAGAGAGAAGCUCUGCUAACCCUCAAGAGGGCCACUCAGGGCUUCUUGGGUGACCUUGGUCCCCAGUACUCAGCCAGUCUGAGGACCCAGAGCCUUGGAGACCAGGGGCGAGUGUGCCUUGGGCUUCUGUUAUCCCCAUUGCGCCUGCCUAAUAGCAGAACCACACCACAAUAACACUGGAGCUAAAUUCUAAUAGCUAGCCCCACCCGUUAAUGGCCUCUUAUACAUUUAAAUUGGGUGUGAUCCUUUGGGAACUGUAAUGUUAUUCAUGGAGAUUGUGUCGCCUAAUUUGAAUACAGAAAACUGUACUUAAGAGAUACGGCAGCUCAGAUGGUUUCUUCUUUCCCUCCUCCUGUCCAGCUUCUCAGUUCGGCUUGGCUGAGGGUACACUGUGUGCCAGAGAAGCAUAAGGGCCGCUGCCACCAUUAAGUAGAGAAAAGAAUGCGGAACAGCAGGGCAUGGUGGCUCACACCUGUUAUCCCAGCACCAUGGGAGGCCCAGCUGGCAGGAGGUGCCUCCUUCUUUGUCCAGAAAGAAGAAAGAGUGGCUGCUUGGCCCGGGGGCUGUCAAAGGGCAAACCAGGUCAAUGGUCCCACCCGGCCCACAGCGUCAGAGGUCCCCCACGAACGACUUGGCUGAGGCAUCCCUCCAGGGGUGGGGAUUGGCCCCUCCAUCCUCAUGGCAAGCAUGCUAAUAGGCCUCCUCCUAUCACUGCCUCCUGUUUCUUGGAUGGGAUAAACUGUUUGGCCUUUGGACAAGAUUACUUUUGCACCAAACAGGAUUGUUAUCACUUAAUUGAAAAUAAUUAUCCAAUGCAAAUUGAGUUCAACUUAUCUAGCUGGAAAUAAAGAAGUGAGUAUUUUGGGUGGUUUCACUGCUGCAAAGGCAGGUAUUUUAAGCAAAUGAAAGUAACGAGAUGCAGGCUGUGUUUUCUGCAGGAGGCCCUGGGAAAUCUGGGGGCCUUUCUUGAGUUGGCCCCUAUGGCCGGGAAGUCUGGGUCACCCCCUUGUCCACAUCAGCGGUUGUUCUAAUGAGUCUGUACUGGGGGAGAAGCUCUGACAGAGCCGGAGGCCGUGGGGGUGGCUGACUGUGGCAGGGGUGCCUAUAAUCCCACACUGUGGUUCUGUCCCUGUGGAGCUUAUCUCUUCAGACACAGGCCCUGGCCUCCUCCAGAAACAAGAAAAAAGUGUAGGGGGAAGGAGAGAGUGCUCUUAAUGUAGGUCUACUGUGGGUGGCCACGUCUCCUCCUCUGUGUCCUUUACCACAGGCACUGUGCCCUUCAACCAUCCAGGUACCUGAGCCAAACCAAGUUCUCUGAGGCUCUCUCCGUCUUGCCCACUCACUCGACUGGCCGCUAACUCCAUUUGCUUACUUAAGUAUUUCUUGGCUUUGUUAAUUUCUUUCCACGCCCACUGUAUCAGUUGCCCAUUGCUGCAGCAAUACUGCGUAACAAACAGCCCCAGAAUCUCAGUGGUCUGCAACAACAGGCGUUCCUUCUCAGGGCCUGCAGCUCUACUGACCUUGGCUGGGCUCACUCAGGGGUUGGCAAGCUGGUGGGCAUCUCUGCUGUACGUGUCCCUCAUCCUCCUAGGGUCCACGGCCAAGCUGGACAGGUUCUUCUCAUGGUGAUGGCAGAUGCAUGAGAGGAAAAGUAGAAAUAUGUAAGGUCUCUUACCAUCAGCUCUCAGACCUGGUAUCAAGACUCAUCUGCCCCAUUCCAUUGAUCAAAGUAAGUCACAAGACCAAGCCCAAAGUCUCAUAUAGCCAGAGUGUGGAUGCAGGGAGGUGGAAGAAUUGGGACUAAAAUUCACACCUACUACUGCCACCACUGACCUUCCUGGGACCUCCAGUCCUGACGUCCCCACUGGAGUCCUCACCUCUGGUCUCAAACUCUCUGAUCUAUUCUCCAUAGAGUAGUUAGUUUGCUCCUUCUAAAAUGCAGACCUGAGCAUAUUACCUUUCAGCUUAAAAAUCCUUACAAUCCUUCUUUCAUGUGGGGGUCUUAUUCCUGUUUUCUGAGAAUAAUUGAAAUUCAAUUGUAAAAUUACUCUUUUUAGCAAUACCCUAAGGAGCCUAUGAAAGAUGCCAACAGUACAGUUAUUGUGGUGGCCCCUCUAAUUGAGUGGCUCUGGUUCUCCUUGUUUCUAGGGGCAGCCCUGGCUGUGCGUGCUCACACAUGGCAAUGCACGGGAGAUCUGCAGCCCGGACAGGAGCUGGAGCACGUGGGAAGGACAUGAGGCAAAUGCUCAAGGACUCGAGAACAGCAGGCCCCAGUGGUGGGAGGGGCACCCUUUGAGCACUGUUACAUGGGAAGGCCAUGGCACGGCGCCAGGCUCAUGGCAGGGACUUUAUUCUCUUCCAAACUCCAACCAUGAAUCCACCCAGGUGUAAACCUUCUACAGUAAGCCAAUUGUGCCUACUGAAGCUCUGUAGACAAGUGCUGCUCAAAAUGUCACCUGCAGACCUGUGCUGCUCUGCAAACGCUUGGUUAGAUGUCCAUGAAGGGGAAUAAGAAGCUCGCACUGGAAUGUACGUUACUGUCACUCAGCGGGCUAUUUAGUCCUGCUGACUUUUUCCACAGCAAGACUUUCUCAAUAAAGGAAGCAGGUCACUGAUUUACUCUCUGGGGCAAAAGCUGCUUAACUCAUGGUAACAAAGUUUGUGGCCCAGCUACUUUCAGGCUGCUUCUGGGGACACUAACCUGAGGUGUCCAAGCAUCUCUGAGUGGUACCCAGGGAAAAUUAUGAAGGCAUUAGGCAAAAGCUAGUAGUUUAAAAAAUCAUAAACGCUAUAAUAAUAAAAAAUGAGAGGUUACCUCAAUAUAAAAAGAGAUAAGUGGUUAAAUAAGUUAUAUAUGUCCUCUUAAUGUAGUUGACAGCACUUAUAAAAUAAGAGGUUGAGGACUUUAUAACGGGACGAAGAAAGGCUUAGGAUAUGACAGGAACUUACAACAGAAGUAUGAUAUAAAAUGGUGUGAGCAGCCCCCACGAACACGUAGAGAAGAUAUAUGUGCUCACACUCACCUACUCGGAAGGAAAUGCACAAAAAUACAAAUAGGGGAUUUGUUAGGGUGACGUAAUGAUUAAGUUUUCUUUUCUUUUCUUUUUUUUUAAUUUGAGACAGUGUCUCACUCUGUCGCCCAGGCUGGGGUGCAAUGGCGCCAUCUCAGCUCACUGCAACCUCUGCCUCCCAGGUUCAAGCGAUUCUCCUGCCUCAGCCACCUGAGUGGCUGAGACUACAGGCGCCCGCCACCACGCCCGGCUAAUUUUUUUCAUAUUUUUAGUAGAAACGGGGUUUCACCAUGUUGGCCAGGCUGGUCUUGAAUUCUUGACCUUAG
rnacentral:lncRNA from 1 species